AUUGAACGCUGGCGGCAUGCCUUACACAUGCAAGUCGAACGGUAACGCGGGGCAACCUGGCGACGAGUGGCGAACGGGUGAGUAAUACAUCGGAACGUGCCCAGUAGUGGGGGGAUAGCCCGGCGAAAGCCGGAUUAAUACCGCAUACGACCUAUGGGUGAAAGCGGGGGAUCGCAAGACCUCGCGCUAUUGGAGCGGCC
rnacentral:rRNA from 1 species